GGUGAAGAACGUAGCGAAAUGCGAUACGUAAUGUGAAUUGCAGAAUUCAGUGAAUCAUCGAAUCUUUGAACGCAUAUUGCGCUCUCUGGUAUUCCGGAGAGCAUGCUUGUUUGAGUAUCAGUAAACACCUCAACUUCCAUAUCUUUUUUGAAAUGGGAGUUGGACUUGAGUGAUCCCAACGCUUUUCCUCACCGAAAAGUGGCGGGUUACUUGAAAUGCAGGUGCAGCUGGACUUUUCUCUGAGCUAUAAGCAUAUCUAUUUAGUCUGCCUAAAAAACAGAUUAUUACCUUUGCUGCAGCUAACAUAAAGGAGAUUAGUUCUUGUGCUGACUGAUGCAGGAUUCACAAAGACAGGCUUCGGCCGACUUUGUAAACUCGAUCUCAAAUCAAGUAAGACUACCCGCUGAACUUAAGCAUAUCAAUAAGCGGAGGA
rnacentral:misc_RNA from 1 species